GAGUUCAACCCCUGGUACCAAAAAAAGAAAAAAGAAAGAAAAACCAGAUGUUCUCAUAGGAAAAUAAUCCAAUGUGCUAUAUUCUGUAAGGAUGAGCAAAAAUCCUGAAGUGCCAUUUUGGAUAGUCUAACUUCACUUAACUCCAAGCAGCAUGUCCUGUAAAUGCUUAUUGAGAUGAGUGGCAUGUUUUAUUUUGGCUUUCCUCUCCUACCAUGGCCUUGAACCACAUUUGUUUCAAGUUGACUUUUUACAUGUUGGUUUUUGUGGUAAGAAAUGUUUUAAAAUUCUGAAAAUUAUGGAAGAUAUGAUGAAUACUUAUAUACCAUAAUUGAGAUUGAAGAGAUGUUAAUGUUAUAUUUGCCUGUAAUUUUUAAUGCAUUAUAAAUGCCUGUUGAACCCAUUUUUCUUUUCCUAAACCCUAUUCCCCUCUCUCCCUCACCACUUUGCAGCAGACAUUUAUCCUUCCUGACCUUGUUUUUAUUGCUUGCUUAUGUGUAGAUCUACAUGAAAUGUAUAGUAGUUUUUUGUAUGUUUUUAGAUAGAUACUGUCAUUCAAGUCAUUCUUCAGUUUGAGGAUUUUACUCACUACUCUUUAGGAGAUUUAUGAUGUUAUAUGUAUUUCAAAAACUCCAUUCUGUUGUUGUAUUUCACUGCCCAAUGCUACCUCAAUUUUUAGAUAUAUUUUCUAUUGAUAAGUAUCUGGAUUAGCUAUUUACCACCCCUGUUCCUUCAUUUCCUCGAUUGGAAAAUGUAGAUAUUAAUGAUGCCAACCUCAUAGGAUAUCC
rnacentral:lncRNA from 1 species